rnacentral:rRNA from 1 species
GACAGAGGGGGCGAGCGUUGUCCGGAGUCACUGGGCGUAAAGCGCGCGCAGGCGGCAACCUAAGUGUCGUGUGAAAGCCCCCGGCUCAACCGGGGGAGGCCAUGGCAAACUGGGUCGCUCGAGCUGCGGAGAGGCCCCUCGAAUUGCCGGUGUAGCGGUGAAAUGCGUAGAGAUCGGCAGGAAGACCAAGGGGGAAGCCAGGGGGCGGGCCGCAGGCUGACGCUGAGGCGCGACAGCGUGUGGAGCAAACAGG